CUACGGGGGGUAGCAGUCGGGAAUAUUGCGCAAUGGAGGAAACUCUGACGCAGUGACGCCGCGUAUAGGAAGAAGGUUUUCGGAUUGUAAACUAUUGUCGUUAGGGAAGAUAAAAGACAGUACCUAAGGAGGAAGCUCCGGCUAACUACGUGCCAGCAGCCGCGGUAAUACGUAGGGAGCAAGCGUUAUCCGGAUUUAUUGGGUGUAAAGGGUGCGUAGACGGGAAGACAAGUUAGUUGUGAAAUCCCUCGGCUUAACUGAGGAACUGCAACUAAAACUAUUUUUCUUGAGUGUUGGAGAGGAAAGUGGAAUUCCUAGUGUAGCGGUGAAAUGCGUAGAUAUUAGGAGGAACACCGGUGGCGAAGGCGACUUUCUGGACAAUAACUGACGUUGAGGCACGAAAGUGUGGGGAGCAAACAGGAUUAGAUACCCCUGUAGUC
rnacentral:rRNA from 1 species